rnacentral:rRNA from 1 species
UGGUGAGUAGAGUGGCGUACGGGUGAGUAACACGUGGGUGAUCUACCCUCUGGUGUGGAAUAACCCUGGGAAACCGGGGCUAAUACCGCAUAAGUCCGCGAGGAGAAAGUCGCAAGACGCCGGAGGAGGAGCCCGCGGCCGAUUAGCUAGUUGGCGGGGUAACGGCCCACCAAGGCUAUGAUCGGUAGCCGGCCUGAGAGGGCACACGGCCACACUGGCACUGAAACACGGGCCAGACUCCUACGGAAGGCAGCAGUGGGGAAUCUUGCACAAUGGGGGCAACCCUGAUGCAGCGACGCCGCGUGAGCGAUGAAGCCCUUCGGGGUGUAAAGCUCUUUCGGCAGGAACGAUAAUGACGGUACCUGCAAAAGAAGCUGCGGCUAACUACGUGCCAGCAGCCGCGGUAAUACGUAGGCAGCAAGCGUUGUUCGGAGUUACUGGGCGUAAAGAGUGCGUAGGCGGUCCUUUAAGUUCGGUGUGAAAUCUCCCGGCUCAACUGGGAGGGUGCGCCGGAAACUGGAGGGCUCGAGUAUGGGAGAGGAAAGCGGAAUUCCUGGUGUAGCGGUGAAGUGCGUAGAUAUCAGGAGGAACACCUGCGGUGUAGACGGCUUUCUGGACCAUGACUGACGCUGAGGCACGAAAGCGUGGGGAGCAAACAGGAUUAGAUACCCUGGUAGUCCACGCCCUAAACGAU